rnacentral:rRNA from 1 species
UAUCUCUGUAGAGUCUGCAUAUCAAUAAGCGGAGGAAAAGAAACUAACUAAGGAUUCCCCUCAGUAACGGCGAGUGAAGCGGGAAGAGCUCAAAUUUGAAAUCUUCAAGGUUUGACCUUGACGAAUUGUAGUUUAAAGAAGUGUUUUCGGUUAGAGGAGUAGUAAAAGUUCUUUGGAAUAGGACAUCAUAGAGGGUGAGAAUCCCGUAUUUGACUAUUCUUUCUAGCUUUGUGAUACACUUUCAAAGAGUCGGAUUGUUUGGGAAUGCAGUCCAAAAUGGGUGGUAAAUUUCAUCUAAAGCUAAAUAUUGGCGAGAGACCGAUAGCGAACAAGUACCGUGAGGGAAAGAUGAAAAGAACUUUGAAAAGAGAGUUAAACAGUACGUGAAAUUGUCAAAAGGGAAGCGUUUGACACCAGUGUUGUUUUUCCGAAAAUCAAUUAAAAAUUGAUUCAUGCCAGGUUGUAUUGACCUUAUCAGCUUGCAAUUUGGUUUUGGGUCUCUUUUUGAUGCACUUUUCGGUUAACAAGUCAACAUCAAUUUCCUUUGCUGUAAAAAGGUAAGAGGAAGGUGGCUUCAAUUUCGGUUGAAGUGUUUAUAGCCUUUUAUCUCUGCAGUCGGGGAGAUUGAGGUCUGCAGCGUAGAUCCUUCGGGGCUAGAUACAUUUAUGCUAAGUUAUAGCUUUUCAUAGACAACUUGUUGACUAUGUUUAGUCAUGUAGCUUACUCGUAAGUGCUAUUUUACCUACGCUUAGGAUGUUGAAGACUCUACAGAGAUA